rnacentral:rRNA from 1 species
ACGAUCCGCUGAGGUUAAGCCC